GGAAAUACCUAUUUUAAGAAACAUUUUAUCAAUUUAACAUUAUUUUCUUAGAAAAUUUUUCUUGAGUAACCUUCAUCUUUAGUUUAAGUUUUAUUUUUAUCUAUUACAAUUAAUUUUCUUUCUCAAUCAUCUUUACUAUAAACAUUGUUAGCUUAGGAUUACUUCCACCCACAAAAACUCAGGUCUUGCGGUUUGUGGCUCAAAAUUCUUGCUGAAUUUCUUGGACUCUUGGUUGCUUCUUUAUAGAUUGAACUGCAGAGAAAAGUUUCAAUGAACACUCAUCCAUUAAAGUAGUUCUGAUAUGGCUUGUUGCCAAUUGAUAGUAUACUACGAUGAUAGCAACAAGAAGAUCAAGUAAAAUUAUUCAUUCGGGGAAAAAGAGAAAGGUGGAAAGGCACUCGAUUCUUUAACAUUGAUGAAGGCUUGCGUCCUUUUUGGAAAAACAGCAGUGACGGUUACAGAUACUCAUUAUUUGCCACAAUCGAAUCUCAAAUAUGCUCAGCAACAUGGCAUUGGGAGCGUAGAAUCAAUGUGCCACCACUUCCAUACUCCAGAAAGAUGUUAAUUGAAAAGCUUGAUAGUGCCAUUCUUCCACAGCAAUCGCUGGCAUAUAGGUCUUCAAUAAUCUCAACCUUUUUUUGGAUUGAGGGUAAUGCAUUGACGAGAAAUUAUAACAAUUAUUCAUUUCUUUUCUUUUUAAGUGAGAAACUCUAUUUUUUUAAUAAUUUUUCUAAAUUAGAAAAUAAUUCUUUAUUUUAAAUAAUAAAAUUAAUCAAAAAAUUAAUGAAAUUAAAUUCUUAUAAAUCAUAAAUUUCAAAUUGAAAUAGCUACAGAAAAUUAUUCUGAGCCCACAGCUGGUACCAUUCCUCCAUUGGAGGCAGCUCCAAAAUCAUCUUAUCCAAGUCUUUAAACGACAACCCUUUCGAUAACUUCCAAUCAGCAGCAGCAGCAGCGCCACCACCAACAGGACCACCUGAACUUUCAAUAAUCCCAUUACUAUCGGCUUCUCUUUUCCUCUUUCCACCAGCAAACGAGCUCUCUUCUAUCAAGGAAACGCAAGAAUCUUUACCAGUAAGGCUCUGAACCACAGACUUGAAGGUCAAAGGAUCAGUGACAACAUAUUGAGUGUCAAUAAUCACCACUUUCACCUCUUCCCUGCUGCAGCUUGCACUAGCCAUGGCUCUAACUGUAUGACUUGAACGCUAGGUGUUUGAUCUUGGAAGGUUUUUUGAAAGCGUUUUGCAGUGACUAGCUAGCGCCAGAGCUUGAAACUUUUCUGGGGUAAUGAACUAAAGAUGAUUUUGAGUAAGUUUGGGCUCUUGAGCUUGCUUUUAUGGAGGAGGAAAUCUGAGGGACGGAAUUGGGACCCAGAACAAAAAGUUAAGGCUUUGUCAAUUAAAGCACGGAUUGACCACUAUAGGCAGUCUUCAAGGACCUGAUCCUGGGAAAGUCUCAGUCAAAGCACGCAACUUGGAACAUAUGAGCCCUGGAGGUGUUCUGUAUACACUCAAAUUUUCUCCCUUCUUAUUAAUAUUUUUAAUUUUAUUGAAAUAUUAAUUGAUUUUUGUUUUAAGUGUAUUUUAUGAUUUGAAAGUCAAUGUGCA
rnacentral:misc_RNA from 1 species